AGUAGGUUUGGUCCCCAAGCUGUCCCUGGUUCCACCGCCRUUCCCAGUUGGGUGACAUGGCGCCCCAGCAGCUCCCCUUCAGUCUUGGUGUCCUUCGGGCAUCAGGCAACUUCCCGGAGCUGGAGCUCGGUUUUCGCCCUUUGACCAUACUUGGGGAAUUUUACAAUCUGGGGAGACGUGGGGAAUUCCGCAGCCUACCUUGGGCGGCGCCUCACAUGGCAGGCAGCGUGGAGGAAACGCGCCUCACAUGGCAGGCAGCGUGGAGGAAACGCUCUGGGGCUCUGCGGGCAGUUCCCAAGAAGGCGGCCACCUCUUGAUGCAUGCAAUGCUAGCGUGCAAUUUCUCGUCUGAUCGGGAGCAUUUCUUAAUUUGGUUUUCCCGAGCGUGUCCGAAGAGAGGCCACUGUAUAGUGGGAAGAGCCGGUGGGUGCCCGGCGUGAGUAAACCAAGAACCUUACCACCCCCUACCGACCCUUUCCCUAGGCUGGAGGCGCURUGGUCUACGGGGAAGUCAGGGCUCUGUCCCUGGACCCAGAGAAAAGAAUUGAGUCUCCCGCUUUCUACCCUAGAUCCCUCCCUUGAGACUUCUUGGGGACUUACAGCACUGACUGGUGUAGCCCUUUUAAAUCCCAGGAGUGGACUCUGAGAAUGGGGGCUUGUACAGCCUCAAGAGCUAAUUAAACUCGUGUUUAUGGAUGCAACUGCCUCUUUGCCUUUGAUUCAGUAUCAUUCUACCAACGUGUAUGGAGCUCCUCUAGACUAGGCAGAAUUCUAGAUAUCUAAAUUUGUUUCUUGUCUCCAUAACCUCACCAAGUGUUGGAGAGACCAAGUAAAGUUACCUACGUAGACAAUCUGGACAAGACCUACUACCAUACAACAAAGGAGGAAACUUGUGGAACUUCUGCACUGGGAAGAACUCUGAAAGAAAUGAAGAAAGCCCUCAGAAAUGAAGUUGGUGACCUGGCGGCUCUCUGUUGAGCACUAUACUACUGUUCCUUAGGAUGGCACUGUGCCAGACAUCUGCCGAGGUCAUUCUUCAGGUGGAAGAGGCACUUGAUGAAGAAGAAAAGGAGAUGCUGUUCUUUUUGUGUCUGGAUAUUACUGAAGAUGUAGUUCCACCUACAGUCAGGGACCUUCUGGAUAUUUUAUGUGAGAGAGGGAAGCUGUCUAUGGGGCAGUUGGCCGAGCUGCUCUACAGAGUGAGGCGGUUUGACCUGCUCAAGCGGAUUUUGAAGAUGGACAAAACAGCCGUGGAGGCUCACCUGCGCAGCYAUCCUCACCUUGUUUCGGACUAUAGGGUGCUGAUGGUGGAGAUUGGUGAGAAUUUGGAUAAAAAAGAUGUAUCAGCACUGCUUUUCCUCAUGAGGGAUUACACAGGCCGAGGCAAGGUCUCCAAGGACAAGAGUUUCUUGGAKCUGGUGGUUGAUUUGGAGAAACUGAAUUUGAUUGCUCCAGAUCAAUUGGAUUUAUUAGAAGAAUGUCUAAAGAACAUCCACAGAAUAGACCUGAAGACAAAAAUCCAGAAGUACAAGCAGUCUGCUCAAGGAGCUAUGAAAGGAGCAGGAACAAGUUGUGUGAAUUCUCUCCACACCUCUYUCCCAAACUUGAGUCUCAAAGAUCCUUCAUAUAGCAUAAGGCUCCAGAAUGGGAGAAGUAAAGGACAAAGACUUUGGCCACACCUUCAAAGAGAACCAGUAAAGACAUCCAUUCAGGAAUCAGGAGCRUUUUUCCUUCAGCACAUCUCUGAAGAGAGAUACAAGAUGCAGAGCAAGCCCCUUGGAAUCUGCUUGAUAAUCGAUUGCAUUGGCAAUGACACAGAAGUUCUUCGACACACCUUCACUUCCCUGGGCUAUGAAGUCCAAAAUUUUUUGCAUCUUCGUGUGAAAGACAUAAGCCAUGUUCUUCACCAAGUUGCCAAUCUGCCCCGACACCGACACCAUGACAGCUUUGUGUGUGUCCUGGUGAGCCGAGGAGGCUCCCAAAGUGUGUUUGGCGUGGAUGAGACUCACUCAGGGUUAUCCUUGCAUCAUAUCAGGAGGAUAUUCAUGGGGGACAAAUGUCCUUCCCUCAUAGGGAAACCAAAGCUCUUUUUUAUUCAGAACUAUGUGGUGUCUGAGGGCCAGAAGGAAGACAGCAGCCUGCUGGAGGUCGAUAGUCCAGCGGUGACCAAUGUGGAAUCCAAGGAACCAAAGCCUGGGCCAAGCACGGUUCACCGAGAAGCUGACUUCUUCUGGAGCUUGUGCACUGCUAGUGUGUCCCUGCUGGAGCAGGCCUCUAGCUCACCCUCCUUGUACCUGCAGAGCCUCUCUCAGAAGCUGGAGCGAGAAAGAAAACGCCCACUUCUGGAUCUCCACCUUGACCUCAACCGCAAAGUGUAUGAUUGGAACAGCAGAGUUUCUGCCAAGGAAAAGUACUGCCUCUUUUUGCAACACACCCUGAGAAAGAAACUCAUCCUGUCUCCCACAUGAAAACCCCAAACCUUUCUUCACCUGGAGGUCUCCUUCUCUAGAGAGAGAGUGGUUUUCAAGCAUGCAUGCAUGUGAAUGUGUAAGGGAAACUUGCAACUCAAGCACGCACAGACUCUUCUCUCAGGAGCUAGUUGUGAGGACUGAUUCCCCAACCCUGGUUCCAUUCUGGCUCCCCACUCUUUCCUCCUUCGAUAGUGGAUUUGAUGGCUGGAUCUCUACCUUCUGUGUUGAACUGUGGAGGGCCAUAUUACAGGAAUAGCUGCAUGGUGAAGAAUAGCUGAACAUUGAAUGAGGACGUUGAGGAGCAAACCCACCAUACCAGCCUAGACCACCUACCUCUGGACUUUUAUGUGAAUGAAAAAAAUCAGAAUUUAUAUUUCUCUCAAACUGAUUAGCCCAACUGAUGCUUUGUUCUUUGAUUAAAAUAUCUGGAAUGUUUGUUCCUAUUAUAAGCUUGAAAGAAAUUUGUAUAGAUGAUUAUUUUUAUUUUCUAAUUAUUAUUUAAAAUGUAUACACUUAAAUCUGAGCUGGCCUAAAUGUUUAAUAUGGAUGAUCUUGUUUUUCUUGUUUCAUCCUUUUGUGCUUUUUUGAGGAGGAUGGAGAUGCUUAAUUAAGAUGGUACAGUUUGAACAGAAUCGUCCUGAGAGGUGUGACUCACAUGGAAAAGUCAUUCUGAGUCACUCAAAAUAUAGACACAGCUUUUGUAUUGAGUUCAUGGUGAAUAAGAAUUCACAGUAAGAGUUUGAAAGCUACAUACAUAAAGCCAAGUGUGAAGGAGACAGAUUCAUUUUGAAAGGUUAAAGAUAAUCAAGAUCAUGACUCAAAAAGAGCCAUGUCUUAAAAAUCUACAGUUCCUUGUUUUCCUUGCUGGGCCCUCUCUUGCAAUGCAAUAACUCCAAAGGUGGAAAUGUAGAACUUUAAUCAAGGCCAUUGAAUGGAAUGACUGAUCUUCCCAGGGAGCCACAAGAACCUCCCUAUUCCAAGAAUCACUUUCUACCCCCAACCUCUUUUUUUAUUAACAGAGGAUUGAACUCAGGGGUGCCUCACCACAAGCUACAUCCAAAGCUCUUUUUACUUUUUAUUUUGAGUCAGAGUUUUGGUAAGAUGCCCAGACUUGCGACCCUCCUGUCUUAACUGCCUGAAUCACUGGAAUUACAGGUGUGCACCACCAUGCCCAGCUUCUUUUCUUUCUUUUAUUGUGUUAUCCCCAAAGCUUCAGGGCUCCAGAGCCAAGGUUUUCUACUUUGGCUUCAUUACAUAUUUAAUAAGCAAACACAAGAAAAUCAGUUCUCUUCAACAAAUCCCUAUGCAAUGUCAGCUGAUAUCUACUAAGUACCACAAAUAAACUUAACUCCCUAGGCAAUAACCAGGAGGACCACCUUAAUGGCAGAUUUGAAUCAAGAAUUCAAACACACAUGUCUUGGGGCUGGGGAUGUGGCUCAAGCGGUACCGUGCUCG